CUUGCCAAAUGUAAUACUUCACUAACAUUACAUUUUAACAAACUUCUAUCGAAACAGAGUUUUGAGAGAUGAAAAACUGUUUUCAACAAACAUUUUUAAUUCCGCUCAUAGCCAAUGAAAAUUGUGCCAAAAUCGUAAUUUGGUAAAACAUCAAAACUGGCUCCCACUAUCGAUAUAUUGAUAUGUUAUUACCACUCUUGAAAGCAAAUGAACAGUUUUAUUUAAUGGACAAGGAGAGGAAAGCAUAUGAUGUGCUUCUACAAACAAUAAACAGUCGAGCGCGCUGCUCUUCUUCAGCGGAGCAAGGACUUUACCAGCGGCAACUGCAGUUCCUGCGCGACAUUGAAAUACAGACGCCUGCAGGACCAUAUGGCGCAAACACAGCGGCCCAGCUUGCACAUCUGCUGACAGAGGAGACGCUGGUAAGUGGUGGGCUUGGCGAUGACUCAUUGAACCUGAGCGCAUGGCUGCUCUGGCUAAACGAGCUGCUCUUGAGCCGAAAACAGCAGCUUGGCGAGACGCAGCCGAUGCUCGAGUGGCUUUUGCAGCGUGUGGAACACAAAUGCGCGGUUGAUGCACUGCGCUGCCUGCUCUCGCUGCUGGAGUCGCUGCCAGUGGGUACAGCGUCCACGUACUUUUCACGCUUGGUAGCUAUUCAGAUGCCGUCCAGCGUGGAGGCAGCGCUGCUGUUGGUGCUGUGCCAGGAUAAGCUGUUCAGCACGUUGUGUACCCCAAAUGCGGAACUGCAGGUGCAGGAAUUGCAGCAGAGCAGCCAGUUGGCUAACUCGUUGCUGCAAAUGCACUACGAUGGGCGCUGGACAAGGAUGACAGCCGCCGAAACGAGGCAGCAGGAGGAGCAGUUAACGAUGCUGGUGGCGCACUCGCUGCAGCUGCUGCAAAAGAUUUCGGCGCAGCAUGCGGACUAUGCUCAGCAGCAUGCGCCAGAGCUGCUCGGCAUGGCUCUAGCGAAUGUGCGAUGCAGAACCGAUGGAGAAACGGUGAAAGCAAUAUACCAAUUGCCACAUCGGGUGCAUCCUGCCCAACAAUCAGCAGUCUAUGGGCAGGACGAUGAGGAUUUGUCAAUUGGCAGCAAUCAAAACACAGCUGCAGCCGGAAGACGCGUCAAGUCCCGCAAGAUGCGCUCACUGACCAAGCAGCGAAACAAUGGCAAUAUACAGGAAAGCACUGGCACAGCUGGCCACGGCGAUCGGAUGCAUCUGCUGCUGCUGGGCAACAACGACUACGGCUGUCGAACACCGAGUGGCGGUGACUCUGAGGGCGGCUGCACUCCCACUUCGGACGGCGCUGGGCAACAGUUGGCGGGACAAAAGCAGCAGCGCCAAUGCCUAGUUAAGGUACGCGUCGCAGCCCUUCAACUGUUGGGCGCAGUCACCAAACAACUGCCUCGGCGCACUCUCUAUGGCUACUGGCAUGUGCUCUUUCCCAGCGGAAGCGGAGGUGCUGCUGCUGGCGGACGCGAGACAAAGGAUCACUUGCUGUAUAUUGGCGCCAAUGAUGGCAAUGUGCGUUGCCGAGCCCUGGCGCUCCAGUUAGCUGCUCAGCUGCUGUACGGCUCCAAGCCAUAUCUAAGCCAAGCGAGCUGCGCUUUGGCGCCAAGCAACUACACACCAUUUGCAAUGAGCCUGGCCAGCAGCGUGCUGGAAGCGUAUCGUCAACUGACGGGCAUACUAGAGCGCGAGUAUGCGCCGCCGGUGCUGACGCAGUGCCUUAAGUGUCUGGCGGUGCUGGUGCAGGCGACGCCUUUCGAGCAACUGCAAAUGGGCAUCGUCUAUGAGUUUGUGCCGCAUGUGAAAAUGUUAACGCGGCAUGUGGACACCAGCGUAAAGGUGUCUGCGCUGCUGGUCAUGGAAAUGCUGGUGGCAACGCCACGCCUUACACGGGAGAUGGCCUGUGCCGUGGGUCUUCCGCCAAACGAACGUCGGGCUGUCAACAUGGUUCAUGCGUCGCCGCGCCUCAAUGCCCACCAGGAUCCGGAGCAACAAUUCCAACAGCUCUGUGACUCCGAAGAGGAGGAGGGAGAGGAGACGGAGGCGAUGUCGGAAGCGGCGGCGGUCCCAUCAGCAGAGCAAGAGGUGCUGCCACCCUCCAUUGUGUUGCCUUGGAAUCGCAUUCCGCGCAACUCGUGGCUGUUGCGUUUGGUCCUGCGCUAUCUGGACUGCCCGGCGAGCGCGGCGCCGCUGCGUGUCGAGUGCCUUCAGGUGCUCCUGGCCAUGGCCACGCAUUUUGGGCUCUUACGCGAACAUCUGGGGCGCCUAGCUGAUGUGCUUUGCAGCGCCUUGCAGGAUUCCUCGUGGGAUGUACGCUUGUAUGGAGCACGCUGCCUCGACGCGAUCGGCUUCCAGAUGACUCGUCAUGCAAUGGAGCAAUCAGACCCCAGACCCGAGCUGCAGCAGCAGCAUUUGAAUUUCUGGCUACGCAUGCUGCCUGCCAUUUAUGGCGCCUACACGGAUGCAGGGGAGGCGACGUUGCGCAGCUCGCUAUGCGAUGCACUUUCCAACAUGGGCGGCAACAGUUUCGAACGCUUGCCGCAGGCACAGCGCACCGGUCUGCUGGCGUUUCUUUUGGGCUGCAGCAGCGACGACGCCGCGGAUCAUCUGGUGCGAGCAGCGGCCGUGCGAGCGCUCGCAGUUUAUGUGCUGCAUCCCACGCUGCGGGACGAUCUAGUAUUUGUGGAGCAUGCAGCUGAGCUGGCGCUGCGUCUCAUCGGCGACAGUCAACUGGCUGUGCGGAUCAAGGCCGCGUGGGCGUUGGGCAAUAUCAGUGAUGCCCUUGUGGCGCCCAUCCAUGCAGUUUCGGAUCCGGAACGACAGGAGACGCAAGAGAAGGAGCGCAUUUCGCAGGCUCUGCUCGGACGACUGAUCGAAGCCGCUGUCGGGGCGUGCGGGGACCAUGACAAGGUACGCGCCAAUGGAGUCCGCGCUCUAGGCAAUUUGCUGCGUCUGCUGCCUGGCGAUGAGCAUGCACUAAUGCAGCGGGGGAUGACCAAGCUGCUCGACUGUGUGCGCGCCGCGGGCAGCGCCAAAGUCAAAUGGAACGCCUGCUAUGCCAUUGGGAAUUUGGUGCGCAAUCGUGCAGUAUUCUCGACUAGCGCCAGCUUGGCGGGCACACUUUUUGCGGCACUCAGUCAGCUGAUUGUGCAGCACUCGAACUUCAAGGUGCGCAUCAAUGCUACCGCCGUUCUGCUGCAGAUCGAGCAGCGCGCAGACAUCGGUGUCCACUAUGCAACCAUGUGGCGCUCACUGCUGGCGGCCAUCGAACGCUCCAAUGCUCUGGACACUUUCGAGGAGUACAACCAUCGUGACGGACUGCAGCAGCAGCUCUGCCUGGCCCUGGCACAUAUGCUGGGGCGUGCGCGUCCCGAUGAUCUGUUGUCCUGCCGUGACGCACUUGAAACACACCUGGAUGUAGUCAGCGGCACCUGGCGUCGUGUUGCAUAUCGCAUUGUCCCCGAGCAGGCGGCACCGCUGUUCACAUGCGGUUCCUUGCUGCAGCAACGCCUUGGUGCCCAUUCGCUCACCGCCGAGCAGCGAAGCGCACUCACAUUCCUCGCCGGUGCACUGCGUCUGGAGAGUUAACCUUGCUGCCAACAAGUUCGAUGCAGUUGGUCCCUACGAUUCUAACACACCAAGUCCUUUGAAAAUCUGCUAGGAUUUGGCCGAGUUAUGACGGUUUUUCUGAAAAGGACACUCGUUUUUUAGUCAUAUCUCCGCCAUAUCCUUUGGCAUCUCGGAGGGUCACACCUUUUUGAACUCGCAGGAAGCAGGACAAGCGAUUAGCAUUCAAGGAAUUCCAGGAUUCGACAAAAAAUUUCACCGAAAAAUUGUUAAGGGGGCUAACCAAUCAAGGACUGCAAUAAAUCCCAAGGACCUCUACGAGUUACAAGCAACCAGGAUCGACCUUUAAUUAAGCCAUUUUAAGCCCAAAUAAGCUACAUUUAUAAAAUAUCCUUGUUUUGCAUAAUUUUGAAGGAAAAUAACAUUAAACAUAAACAAUUUUGUAAAAUAAAGCAUAAUAAAUCAGCAUAUAAAACGAA